CUCAGGAUGAACGCUAGCUACAGGCUUAACACAUGCAAGUCGAGGGGAAACGAUAGAGAAAGCUUGCUUUUUCUAGGCGUCGACCGGCGCACGGGUGAGUAACGCGUAUCCAACCUGCCCAUCACUUGGGGAUAACCUUGCGAAAGUAAGACUAAUACCCAAUGAUAUCCGUCGAAGACAUCUGAAGUGGAUUAAAGAUUUAUCGGUGAUGGAUGGGGAUGCGUCUGAUUAGCUUGUUGGCGGGGUAACGGCCCACCAAGGCGACGAUCAGUAGGGGUUCUGAGAGGAAGGUCCCCCACAUUGGAACUGAGACACGGUCCAAACUCCUACGGGAGGCAGCAGUGAGGAAUAUUGGUCAAUGGACGAGAGUCUGAACCAGCCAAGUAGCGUGCAGGAUGACGGCCCUAUGGGUUGUAAACUGCUUUUAUAAGGGAAUAAAGUGAGCCUCGUGAGGCUUUUUGCAUGUACCUUAUGAAUAAGGACCGGCUAAUUCCGUGCCAGCAGCCGCGGUAAUACGGAAGGUCCGGGCGUUAUCCGGAUUUAUUGGGUUUAAAGGGAGCGUAGGCCGGAGAUUAAGCGUGUUGUGAAAUGUAGAUGCUCAACAUCUGAACUGCAGCGCGAACUGGUUUCCUUGAGUACGCACAAAGUGGGCGGAAUUCGUGGUGUAGCGGUGAAAUGCUUAGAUAUCACGAAGAACUCCGAUUGCGAAGGCAGCUCACUGGAGCGCAACUGACGCUGAAGCUCGAAAGUGCGGGUAUCGAACAGGAUUAGAUACCCUGGUAGUCCGCACGGUAAACGAUGGAUGCCCGCUGUUGGUCUGAAUAGGUCAGCGGCCAAGCGAAAGCAUUAAGCAUCCCACCUGGGGAGUACGCCGGCAACGGUGAAACUCAAAGGAAUUGACG
rnacentral:rRNA from 1 species